AGGACGAACACUGGCGGCGUGCUUAACACAUGCAAGUCGAGCGGUAAGGCCCUUUCGGGGGUACACGAGCGGCGAACGGGUGAGUAACACGUGGGUGACCUGCCCUUAGCUCUGGGAUAAGCCUGGGAAACUGGGUCUAAUACCGAAUACACCUUGCUGGCUGCAUGGCCUGGUGGGGGAAAGCUUUUGCGGUGUGGGAUGGGCCCGCGGCCUAUCAGCUUGUUGGUGGGGUGAUGGCCUACCAAGGCGACGACGGGUAGCCGGCCUGAGAGGGUGUCCGGCCACACUGGGACUGAGAUACGGCCCAGACUCCUACGGGAGGCAGCAGUGGGGAAUAUUGCACAAUGGGCGCAAGCCUGAUGCAGCGACGCCGCGUGAGGGAUGACGGCCUUCGGGUUGUAAACCUCUUUCAGUAUCGACGAAGCGCAAGUGACGGUAGGUACAGAAGAAGCACCGGCCAACUACGUGCCAGCAGCCGC
rnacentral:rRNA from 1 species